GACGAACGCUGGCGGCGUGCUUAACACAUGCAAGUCGAACGGAAAGGCCCUGCUUUUGCGGGGUGCUCGAGUGGCGAACGCGGGAGUAACACGUGAGUAACCCGCCCUUAACUGUGUGAUAACUUCAGGAAACUGGGGCUAAUACCCGAUAGGAUUUCCUGCUGCGUGGUGGGGGAUGGAGAGAUUCGGCGUUGCGGGCUGGACUCGCGGCUUAUCAGCUUGUUUGUGGGGUAGUGACUGACCACGGCUUUGACGGGUAGCCGACCUGAGAGGGUGAACGGGGACAUUGGGACUGCGAGACGGCGCAGAAUCCAACGGGCCGCAGCAGUGGGGAGUAUUGCGCAGUGGGGGGACGCCUGAUGCGGAGACGCCGGGUGCGGGAUGCCGGGCUUCGAGUUGUAAACAGAUUUGGACUGUGCCGAGCAGAGAGUGACGGUACUGGGUAAAAAAGCACCGGCUAACUACGUG
rnacentral:rRNA from 1 species